rnacentral:rRNA from 1 species
GAUGAACGCUGGCGGCGUGCCUAAUACAUGCAAGUCGAGCGAACGGACGAGAAGCUUGCUUCUCUGAUGUUAGCGGCGGACGGGUGAGUAACACGUGGAUAACCUACCUAUAAGACUGGGAUAACUUCGGGAAACCGGAGCUAAUACCGGAUAAUAUUUUGAACCGCAUGGUUCAAAAGUGAAAGACGGUCUUGCUGUCACUUAUAGAUGGAUCCGCGCUGCAUUAGCUAGUUGGUAAGGUAACGGCUUACCAAGGCAACGAGGCAUAGCCGACCUGAGAGGGUGAGCGGCCACACUGGAACUGGGACACGGUCCAGACUCCUACGGGAGGCAGCAGUAGGGAAUCUUCCGCAAUGGGCGAAAGCCUGACGGAGCAACGCCGCGUGAGUGAUGAAGGUCUUCGGAUCGUAAAACUCUGUUAUUAGGGAAGAACAUAUGUGUAAGUAACUGUGCACAUCUUGACGGUACCUAAUCAGAAAGCCACGGCUAACUACGUG